UACGGAGGAUGCGAGCGUUAUCCGGAUUUAUUGGGUUUAAAGGGUGCGUAGGCGGGCUUAUAAGUCAGCGGUAAAAAUUCGGGGCUCAACCCCGUCCGGCCGUUGAAACUGGGGGCCUUGAGUGGGCGAGAAGAAGGCGGAAUGCGUGGUGUAGCGGUGAAAUGCAUAGAUAUCACGCAGAACCCCGAUUGCGAAGGCAGCCUUCCGGCGCCCUACUGACGCUGAGGCACGAAAGUGCGGGGAUCGAACAGG
rnacentral:rRNA from 1 species